rnacentral:rRNA from 1 species
UACGUAGGGUGCAAGCGUUGUCCGGAAUUAUUGGGCGUAAAGAGCUCGUAGGCGGUCUGUCGCGUCUGCUGUGAAAACCUAGGGCUUAACUCUGGGCGUGCAGUGGGUACGGGCAGGCUAGAGUGCGGUAGGGGAGACUGGAAUUCCUGGUGUAGCGGUGAAAUGCGCAGAUAUCAGGAGGAACACCGGUGGCGAAGGCGGGUCUCGCUGGCCGUAACUGACGC